UUUGUGAUUUCUUUAUUUAAUACAUAGUACCAUCAAAACUCCGUAGUUAAGCGUGUUUGAGCGAGAGUAAUACUAGGAUGGGUGACCCCUGAGAAGUCCUCGUGUUGCACCCC